UACGGAGGGUGCAAACGUUGCUCGGAAUCAUUGGGCGUAAAGCGCACGUAGGCGGCCGAUUAAGUCGGGUGUGAAAGCCCUGGGCUCAACCCAGGAAGUGCACUCGAAACUGACCGGCUUGAAUAUGGAAGAGGGUUGCGGAAUUCCCGGUGUAGAGGUGAAAUUCGUAGAUAUCGGGAGGAACACCAGUGGCGAAGGCGGCAACCUGGGCCAAUAUUGACGCUGAGGUGCGAAAGCGUGGGGAGCAAACAGG
rnacentral:rRNA from 1 species